rnacentral:rRNA from 1 species
GUCUACGGCCAUACCUAGGCGAAAACACCAGCUCCCGUCCGAUCACUGCAGUUAAGCGUCUGAGGGCCUCGUUAGUACUAUGGUUGGAGACAACAUGGGAAUCCGGGGUGCUGUAGGCU